rnacentral:rRNA from 1 species
GACGAACGCUGGCGGCGUGCCUAAUACAUGCAAGUAGAACGCUGAAGACUUUAGCUUGCUAAAGUUGGAAGAGUUGCGAACGGGUGAGUAACGCGUAGGUAACCUGCCUACUAGCGGGGGAUAACUAUUGGAAACGAUAGCUAAUACCGCAUAACAGCAUUUAACCCAUGUUAGAUGCUUGAAAGGAGCAAUUGCUUCACUAGUAGAUGGACCUGCGUUGUAUUAGCUAGUUGGUGAGGUAACGGCUCACCAAGUCGACGACCCAUAGCCGACCAGGGAGGGUGAUCGGCCACACUGGGACUGAGACACGGCCCAGACUCCUACGGGAGGCAGCAGUAGGGAAUCUUCGGCAAUGGGGGCAACCCUGACCGAGGAACGCCGCGUGAGUGAAGAAGGUUUUCGGAUCGUAAAGCUCUGUUGUAAGAGAAGAACGUGUGUGAGAGUGGAAAGUUCACACAGUGACGGUAACUUACCAGAAAGGGACGGCUAACUACGUGCCAGCCGCCGCUGUAAAAC